AUAGUUGUAAGGGCAGGGGUUUUCUGUGAUCAACAAGGCAGAUCCCCCGGGGUGAGGCUCUCUCAUUGCACUUUGACUGAGCUGACCCCUGCAAAUAUCUCUAAAGUAGAUGUCUCGGGUGUAUUAUUUUUGGUAGCUCGUGUAAGUUUUUUUCGAG